CCCCUCCCCUUCUCGGUCUCUCCCUCCUACACUUUUUCACUCCCUCGACCCCUUUCUCCUCCCAAACCCUCCUGACCUCCUCAGACUCCGCAAGGGGGUUUGGGAGCGAGAAGGAGAGGGACACAGAGGAGUCUUUGUCAUUUGGGGGUGCGCUGCAGGUUUAGGUAACUUUGAACCAACUAGGGAACUUCGGAGAUUUCUCAGAGGAUUAGGAGAGAGAGGGGCAAAAGACACUCGCACGUGUAGGGCUUAUGUGGCACAAAAACAUCGAGUAUUCGCACACUCGAGGACACAUUCAUCCCUUACCCCCGGUGAACACCAUAAAAGUUGUCUCGAAGUAAUUCUUUAUAACAUAUAUGUCUAUAUAGGCAUAUCGCAGCAUGUGUCUAUAAAUCAGGUUCAACUUUCCAAGGAGAUUUGGUUCAAAGACUUAUCAAGAUUUCUCUUAACCUUCUAGGAUGAAAUUUCCUCUCGCCUAAUUAGGGUCGUCUUACAUCCAAAGCAUCGCAGCCUAGGACCAGACAGCUCAAGAGCACCCCACCCUGCCUAAGCUUGGUUCUGCAGUUUUUCCUCCCGCCGGCUGAGUUCCCUUGCUCGGGGGAAAGACUGGGGCCGCCGUCUCUUUCUUCUCUUCCUCCCUUUUCAUUUCCCACCUUCUAGACCCCCUUGGGUCCCCCACCUCCCAGGUUCUGGAGGGGAAACCUAGGCCGCGCAAACUUGCCUACCCCAAACCGGGCUUUCCUUUGAGCUGCGCACUGCUGAGGACGGAAUCGGCGCGUCCUGGAGCUGCGCUCUGCGCGGGAGUUGGGAGCAACGAUCCCCGAUCAGGAGUGCUCCCAGCAAGACCAGAAGACCAAUGGAUUAGACCAAGCCCACAUUAGUCACAGGCAUCCUGGAAACCAAAAGCUGAUCUGUCUAUAAGUGCAAAGGGAAAGGAGGCUGAUGUCUUAUACUGGAGUCCAUAAACUACUUUAAAAACAAUUUUUAGCUGGAAAAAUCUACAUGAAUUGAUGCGGAGUGAAAUAAGCAGAACCAGAAGAACAGUGUACAGGAACAGCGAAAUUGAGGGAUGACCAACUGUGAAAGACUUGGUUCCUCUCAGCAAUCCGAUGAUCCAGGACAAUUCUGAAGGAUUUAGGACAAAGAAUGCUGUCCAUCUCUAGAGGAAAAACUAUUGGAGUCAAAUGCAGAUUAAAGCAUACUAUCUUCCACAUUUGUAUACUUAUAGUUUUAUUUGGGGGGUUGAUUUUAUACGAGAAUUAUCUUACAACAAUGUCCAAUAUGGACAUAAAUUUUGCAUGAUAAUACAUGUAUAACCCAGAUCAAAUGGCUUACCCUCUCCAAGAGGAUAGAGGGAUGGAAACUAUUUGGAUCUUAUACUUUUAGAAAAUCUAUGUUGAAAAUUGUUAUUACAUGUAAUUGGGAAAAUAAAAUAUCUUUGAAUAAAAUUAUUUAAAACUUU